rnacentral:rRNA from 1 species
UACGGAGGGUGCAAGCGUUGUCCGGAUUUAUUGGGUUUAAAGGGUGCGUAGGCGGCCCGUUAAGUCAGUGGUGAAAGCCUCCAGCUCAACUGGAGAACUGCCAUUGAUACUGGCGGGCUUGAGUACAGACGAGGUUGGCGGAAUUGAUUGUGUAGCGGUGAAAUGCAUAGAUACAAUCAAGAACACCGAUUGCGUAGGCAGCUAACUAGGCUGUAACUGACGCUGAGACACGAAAGCGUGGGGAGCGAACAGG